AGAACAAGAAUCUGAAGUGCAAUUUAAACACGUCAAAUUCUCCGACAACGACACCAAAAACUUGAUGUGUCUUAAAUUUAUCGUAAGUGCACAAUGUGCAAUGUAGCACGUCCGACGAGUACGAGUCGAUCCCAUGAGGAAUUAGAUUUUAAAUUAUAUUUACAUGCUUGCUCAGGCGAACUUUAGAGAAAAGGAGAAG
rnacentral:lncRNA from 1 species